rnacentral:rRNA from 1 species
UACGUGGGUGCAAGCGUUGUCCGGAAUUAUUGGGCGUAAAGAGCUCGUAGGCGGUCUGUCGCGUCGGCUGUGAAAACUUGGGGCUCAACCCCAAGCCUGCAGUCGAUACGGGCAGACUAGAGUCCGGCAGGGGAGACUGGAAUUCCUGGUGUAGCGGUGAAAUGCGCAGAUAUCAGGAGGAACACCGGUGGCGAAGGCGGGUCUCUGGGCAGUAACUGACGCUGAGGAGCGAAAGCGUGGGGAGCGAACAGG